CAUAGGUUUGGUCCUGGCCUUUCUAUUAGUUUUUAGUAAAACUACACAUGCAAGUAUCCGCAUCCCAGUGAGAAUGCCCUCUAAAUCAUAAAUGAUUAAAAGGAGCGGGCAUCAAGCACACUACAAAGUAGCUCAUAACGCCUUGCUUAACCACACCCCCACGGGAAACAGCAGUGAUAAAAAUUAAGCCAUAAACGAAAGUUUGACUAAGUUAUACUAAUAAUCAAGGGUUGGUAAAUUUCGUGCCAGCCACCGCGGUCAUACGAUUAACCCAAAUUAAUAGAUCCACGGCGUUAAGCGUGUUUAAGAUAACAAAAAAAAUAAAGUUAAACCUUAACUAAACUGUAAAAAGUCAUAGUUAAUAUUAAAAUAAACUACGAAAGUAACUUUAUAAAUUCUGAAUACACGAUAGCUAAGACCCAAACUGGGAUUAGAUACCCCACUAUGCUUAGCCCUAAACCUAAAUAAUUUACACAACAAUAUUAUUCGCCAGAGUACUACUAGCAAUAGCCUAAAACUCAAAGGACUUGGCGGUGCUUUAUAUCCCUCUAGAGGAGCCUGUCCUAUAAUCGAUAAACCCCGAUAAACCUCACCAACCCUUGCUAAUACAGCUUAUAUACCGCCAUCCUCAGCAAACCCUAAAAAGGAAGCACAGUAAGCCCAAAUAUUGUACAUAAAAACGUUAGGUCAAGGUGUAGCUAAUGAGUUGGGAAGAGAUGGGCUACAUUUUCUACUCAAGAACAUUUUAACCACUAACGAAUGUCCCCCUGAAAUCAGGGACUGAAGGAGGAUUUAGUAGUAAACCAAGAACAGAGAGCUUGAUUGAAUUAGGCCAUGAAGCACGCACACACCGCCCGUCACCCUCCUCAAGUAUCAACAUACAAUUUAAACAUAUUAACAAGUAUUAAACAUAUGAGAGGAGAUAAGUCGUAACAAGGUAAGCGUACUGGAAAGUGCGCUUGGACAUAU
rnacentral:ncRNA from 1 species